GGGGUGGUGGUCCAGCCUGGUCUAAGAUUCCCGGCUCGGGCCCGGGAGGUCGGGAGUUCAAAUCUCCCCCACCCCACCA
rnacentral:tRNA from 1 species